UACGAAGGGGGCUAGCGUUGCUCGGAAUCACUGGGCGUAAAGGGUGCGUAGGCGGGUCUUUAAGUCAGAGGUGAAAUCCUGGAGCUCAACUCCAGAACUGCCUUUGAUACUGAGGAUCUUGAGUAUAGGAGAGGUGAGUGGAACUGCGAGUGUAGAGGUGAAAUUCGUAGAUAUUCGCAAGAACACCAGUGGCGAAGGCGGCUCACUGGCCCGGUACUGACGCUGAGGAGCGAAAGCGUGGGGGAGCAAACAGG
rnacentral:rRNA from 1 species